AUUGAACGCUGGCGGCAGGCCUAACACAUGCAAGUCGAACGAGUGUCGGACGGGCUAGUAAUGUCUGGGAACCUGCCUGACGGACGGGGAAAACUUUUGGAACCUGUAGCUACUACUGCUUACCAUCAGUUGCUCACAGAUGGGAUUAGCUAGUUGGUGGGGUAACGGCCCCCCAAGGGCACGAUCCCUAGCCGGUCUGAGAGGAUGCCCAGCCAAACGGGAACGUAUACACGGUCCAGACUCCUACGGUAGGCAGCAGUGGGGAAUAUUGGACAAUGGGCGCAAGCCUGAUGCAGCCAUGCCGCGUGUGUGAAGAAGGCCUUCGGGUUGUAAAGUACUUUCGGCGGGGAGGCGUUACCCGCAGAAGAAGCACCGGCUAACGCCGUGCCAGCCGCCGCGGUAAUUC
rnacentral:rRNA from 1 species